rnacentral:rRNA from 1 species
GAUCAUGGCUCAGGACGAACGCUGGCGGCGUGCCUAACACAUGCAAGUCGAACGGAAGUUAGAGCUUCGGUUUUAACUUUAGUUGGCGAACGGGUGAGUAACGCGUGAGGAACCUGCCUUUCAGUGGGGGACAACAGUUGGAAACGACUGCUAAUACCGCAUGAUGCUUUUGGGAGACAUCUCCUGGAAGCCAAAGCUUUAUGUGCUGAAAGAUGGCCUCGCGUCUGAUUAGCUAGUUGGUG